UUCAAUAUCAGAACCAUUCUACUAGAAGACACGGUUGUGAGCAGACUUGCACCACGUUUCUCUUCUUCGACGCACAUCGAACCCACCAAACAAUAUGGGCGCUAAUUUCGAACCUUUAGCAAAGCCUGCAGACAACGAAGAGCUCUCUGGAGUAUCUGUGGAUGGACUAGCCUUCGUACCCUCUUUGGAUGACUUCGACUCGGAUGGUGUAGCCAGCACCAGCCCUGGUGACAAGGUGUUCAUGCAGAAAGGCGUGAACCCUGUUUAGCCUGGACAACAGUGAGUCGGGAACAUCUGUGCGCUGCCACCACGACACCAGGCACCGAUGAUGUCCGCUCCUGGUCACCUUAAACUGGAAACUGAGCAUGAAGGACGUGUGUUUUACAGUAGAAGUUGACACAAUAAAAUCUGUUCAGCGUUCCGUUCAAAACACA